UACGUAGGGUGCGAGCGUUAAUCGGAAUUACUGGGCGUAAAGCGUGCGCAGGCGGUUAUGUAAGUCAGGUGUGAAAUCCCCGGGCUUAACCUGGGAACUGCAUUUGUGACUGCAUCGCUGGAGUACGGCAGAGGGGGAUGGAAUUCCGCGUGUAGCAGUGAAAUGCGUAGAUAUGCGGAGGAACACCGAUGGCGAAGGCAAUCCCCUGGGCCUGUACUGACGCUCAUGCACGAAAGCGUGGGGAGCAAACAGG
rnacentral:rRNA from 1 species